AGUGAACGCUGGCGGUAGGCCUAACACAUGCAAGUCGAACGGCAGCACAGUAAGAGUUUGCUCUUACGGGUGGCGAGUGGCGGACGGGUGAGGAAUACAUCGGAAUCUACUUUUUCGUGGGGGAUAACGUAGGGAAACUUACGCUAAUACCGCAUACGACCUACGGGUGAAAGCAGGGGAUCUUCGGACCUUGCGCGAUUGAAUGAGCCGAUGUCGGAUUAGCUAGUUGGCGGGGUAAAGGCCCACCAAGGCGACGAUCCGUAGCUGGUCUGAGAGGAUGAUCAGCCACACUGGAACUGAGACACGGUCCAGACUCCUACGGGAGGCAGCAGUGGGGAAUAUUCGACAAUGGGCGCAAGCCUGAUCCAGCCAUACCGCGUGGGUGAAGAAGGCCUUCGGAUUGUAAAGCCCUUUUGUUGGGAAAGAAAAGCAGCAGGUUAAUACCCCGCUGUUCUGACGGUACCCAAAGAAAAAGCACCGGCUAACUUCGUG
rnacentral:rRNA from 1 species